UCCUCCUCUAACGUAGUACAUGAAUCAACGUCAGUGCCUGAAGCUAAUAUAUUUAGAUCUGAUAUUGCUCAUAGAGUAAUGACAGAAUGUACUGCAAUGAUAAAGAAUUGUGGAAUUAAUAUUCACUUCUUGGUUGACAAGUUGUUGGAACAUAAGAUUAUCAAUGCAAGAGAGAAGAGAGGAAUAACUGAUGGCUACACUAAACAAACUGCUGGUGAAAGAAUGGAUGAAUUGCUCGACAUCAUUUCAAGCUCCAUUAGUAUGGAAGGAGAAGUAUUUGGUAUAUUCUUAGAUAUACUCAGAGAGGAAGAUAC